CACGUAGGGUGCGAGCGUUGUCCGGAAUUAUUGGGCGUAAAGAGCUCGUAGGCGGUGUGUCGCGUCGGUCGUGAAAACUUUCAGCUUAACUGGGAGCGUGCGGUCGAUACGGGCAUCACUUGAGUACGGCAGGGGAGACUGGAAUUCCUGGUGUAGCGGUGAAAUGCGCAGAUAUCAGGAGGAACACCGAUGGCGAAGGCAGGUCUCUGGGCCACUACUGACGCUGAGAAGCGAAAGCAUGGGGAGCGAACAGG
rnacentral:rRNA from 1 species